ensembl:lncRNA
GGGGAUUUGGAAGAGAAAAUGCGUGAUUUUCGGAUAAAUGGGGGAUUCUUGAAGAGAAAACGCGUGAUUUUCGCUUAAAUGUGGCAUUUCUAAAGAGAAAACACGUGAUUUUCGCUUAAAUGGGGGAUUCUCAAAGAGAAAACGCGUGAUUUUCGGUUAAAUGGGAAGAUUUGCGAAGAGAAAACACGUGAUUUUUGGGUUAAAUGGCGGAUUCUGAAAGAGAAAAUGCGUGAUUUUCGCUUAAAUGGGGGAUUUGCAAAAAGAAAACGCGUGAUUUUUGCAUACAUCGGUGAUUUGCAAAUAUAAAAAGCGUGAUUUUCGGGUUAAAUGGGGGAUUUGCAAAGAGAAAACGCGUGAUUUUCGGUUAAAUGGGGGAUUUGCGAAGAGAAAACGCAUGAUUUUCGGUUAAAUGGGGGAUUUGCAAAGAGAAAACGCGUGAUUUUCGGGUUAAAUGGAAGAUUCCUGAAGAGAA